CUGUGAAAGGCUAGAUUUGACAGGUGGUUUGUGUGACUGCAGUGUGAGACUCAAUCUCAUAGGAGAGAGAGGAAUGAUGGUUACCAGAGGCUGAGGUGGCUAGGGGAGGGGAACAUGGAGAAAUGUUGGUCAACAGAUAAAUAAUUACAGUUAGACACAAGCAGUAAGUUAGACACAAGUUAGACACAAGAACUCUAUUGUACAGCAUGGUGACUAUAGUUGAUGAGGAUAUAUUGCAUUUUUGAAAAGUGCAGAGAGAGUGGAUGUGUUCUCACCACAAAAAUGAUAAUUAUGUGAGUUAAUGUGCUUGCUAACUAGGUAGAUGUAACCAUUUCAUAAUGUAUAUAUACUUCAAAACACCGUAUUACACACAAUAAAUGCAUGUAAUUUUACCAGUCAAUUUUUUUUAAAAGGAGGGACUCAGGUUGUGAACUUUAACAGCGGCAAAAACCGAAGGCCCCUCAAAAAGACUAGACAGUCCAGAAGGAAUUCCCACUUGGAGGCGGGAGGGGCAGAGCUGUGAGCUCCUCAUGGAGGUGGAAUUGAGGUGGGCCAUUUAAGAGGAGAAAGGGGUCAGUGGGAUUUCUCCAGUCUUGCUCAAUAAAUUUUUGCAUAUGUGUAUACCCAUGUAAUUAUCUCCCAGUUCAAGAUAUUGGAUGUGGCAUUUUCAUCUCCCAAGAGGGCUUCUUGUGCUCCUUCUUACCUCCAGGAGUGGCUUCUUCGGCUCAACAUUUGUCUGUGAGAUCCAUCCCUGUGCAGUGCGCACCCGUCACUCUUUCUAUUGCUUUGAAGUAUUACAUUAUAGACACUGGCAUUUGAAGAAUGAGUACAAGUUGCUCCCAGUAUGUUGGCCAGAAGAAUAGAGAGGGCAUUAAUUCUCAAUGAAUUUCUAAGAUUGAAACACUGCUUCAUACCUUUUUGGAAGGCACCAUCAUGGACCCAAUACUGCUUCAGAGGUGUAGUGCUUGAUUUGCAGAAGUUUACUAGCCCAAUUAAGACCAGGACCUGCAGUGGAACAUGCUGCCUUCCUGUGACUGAGGUAUCUGGGCAAGGCUAUGGCACAAAGAGAGGACCUGAAAUUGAUGUUGCUUUUGUCAGAUGAUAUAUGUGUUUUCCUGAGUAUGCAAACAGUUGCGCAAGGCAGGUCAGCUUGAGAAGAGAAGUGCAGAGCUGUCCUUUAGUGAUGCUCUGUGCCCAACACCUCACACCUGAGAUUCUGCAAUGGCUGUGAUGGUUCCUGACCUGGCCAGUGUAACACUUCUGAGUCAGGUGAGUGCAUGAACAGUUGUGAUAUGCUUGUGUGGUGUUGUCUUUUCAAAGUUAGGCAUGUUCAGAGAUGCAGAAUUAGGAUAAAAGAGAAAAGUAAUCUUUCACUGUCUUUGCGGAACUCCAAAAAAACUCCACAAAGAUCUUUUUGCAGUUAGACUGAUCAGGAACAGAGGACUUAUAGGGAGGGAAAAAGUUCUAUAAAUGUGAAGAAAUUUUACUUGUUAAAAGAAUUGAACAAACAUGGCCUUGUUAAUAAAAUUUGUCUAUUAGUAUAG
rnacentral:lncRNA from 1 species